UGCAUCUGAAGCCUGACGAGGAUGAGAACCUCCGGGGGCAAGAGGUUCGACUCGAGCGCAGCGAGAGAACGUUGCGUCAGCAACGGCCCGCAGGG
rnacentral:sRNA from 2 species